rfam:Hordeum vulgare subsp. vulgare, WGS project CAJW01000000 data, contig: morex_contig_2547306
GGAAUACUUCCUCCGUCCGGAAAUACUUGUCAUGUGAAUGGAUGUAUCUAGAUGUAUUUUAGUUCUAGAUACAUCCAUUUUCAUCCAUUUGUGCGACAAGUAAUUCCGAACGGAGGGAGUAUUAC